rnacentral:rRNA from 1 species
GACAGAGGAGCCAAGCGUUGUCCGGAUUGACUGGGCGUAAAGCGCACGCAGGCGGAACGGCGCGUGGGGUGUGAAAGCUGGCGGCUUAACUGCCAGUCGCCAUCCCAUACGGCCAUUCUGGAGCCUUGCAGAGGGCAGUGGAAUUGCCGGUGUAGUGGUGAAAUGCGUAGAGAUCGGCAGGAACACCCAGGGGGAAACCAGCUGCCUGGGCAA